ACCAGUUUUCCUGAGGGUCCCAAACCAACCCCAGGUAAUGAGAAUCACAGGUCACCUUGAGCAACCGACAAGGCCAACUCACUGGUCAUUCCUACAUCUUCCAGACCCUGACAAGGGUGUAUGGCUGGAAGACCCCAUAUCCACGGUGGAUUUCUCAUAACCAACGCAGCCAGGAAGCUUGUUGUGUAGCUGAGGAUGACCUUGAACUUGUGACCCUCCUGUCUCCACCUCUGGAGUGCAAGGAUUAAAGGGACUCCUCACGACGAUGACAGCAUCCUCAAACCACGAGCCAACAGAAGCCCUUCCUUCCUUAAAUUACUUCUUUCCAGAGCCUCCCCCUCACCUGGGGAAGAAGACAUGUCAGCAUCCUCAAGACUCAGGGAGCCAACGGAGUGUCAAGCCCUUGCAACUCACACAUGCUCCUGAAUGGACGGGGUCCGCCCAAUGGCAAGUGAUCUCACCUGGACACAGAGUCAUCACUGUGUGCAGAGCCCCUGCUUGGGGCAGAGCAAGCCCUGCUGAGUCACCUGGUUCCUUCUGGGAAAAUUCCAGGGGUAAAAUUCCAGGGACCUAGUCCCUGACACCCCUCCCUUCCCUGGGCUCCACAGAGAGACCUUACAGCCCAGAGAAUUUCCUAAGGCAGACUGCAGGUUUUCUGGGCUGCCUUUUUUAGCAUGUCAUUGAUGGCCCCACAGCUGGGCCAUUGGCAUGGCGGGAGGUUUGUCAUUGGCUCCUGGGAAAGCUUAGUGAUAACACUCUAGAGUUCUAGUCCCUCGCCUGGCCUCGGCUUUGGCCUCUCCUGCUGCCCAAAGGGAGCCUCCAAGUUUGAGCCCCUGGUCCUGUUAUCUCUAGCUUCCCACUGAUGGGUUAGAGCGCUUCUCCUAGGGUCUCCCUUACAGAGGGGUUGAUGGUCCCCAGAACCAGGAGUGGCCUCAUUCUCCAGGGACUGUCUUCCACGGAGUGUUGCUCCAACAGGCUCUCCACCACAAUUAGCCCUUCCCUCAUC